rnacentral:rRNA from 1 species
GACGAACGCUGGCGGCGUGCUUAACACAUGCAAGUCGAACGGAAAGGCCCUGCUUUGGUGGGGUGCUCGAGUGGCGACCGGGUGAGUAACACGUGAGUAACCUGCCCUUGCCUUUGGGAUAACUUCAGGAAACUGGGGCUAAUACCGGAUAGGAGCUCCUGCUGCAUGGUGGGGGUGGGAAAGUUUCGGCGGUUGGGGAUGGACUCGCGGCUUAUCAGCUUGUUGGUGGGGUAGUGGCUUACCAAGGCUUUGACGGGUAGCCGGCCUGGGAGGGUGACCGGCCACAUUGGGACUGAGAUACGGCACAGACUCCUACGGGAGGCAGCAGUGGGGAAUAUUGCACAAUGGGCGGAAGCCUGAUGCAGCAACGCCGCGUGCGGGAUGACGGCCUUCGGGUUGUAAACCGCUUUCGCCUGUGACGAAGCGUGAGUGACGGUAAUGGGUAAAGAAGCACCGGCUAACUACGUG